ACGACCAAAGCUCGUAGAAAAUACGGGAUCCCGUCCGCUCUCCCAUAGUCAAGCUGCGAAGCGCUGGAUUAGUAGUUGGGUCGGUGACGACCA
rnacentral:rRNA from 1 species